UGAGGAAUAUUGGUCAAUGGACGCAAGUCUGAACCAGCCAUGCCGCGUGAAGGAUGAAGGUCCUCUGGAUUGUAAACUUCUUUUCUCUGGGGCGAAAAAAGGGAAUUCUUUCCCACUUGACAGUACCAGAGGAAUAAGCACCGGCUAACUCCGUGCCAGCAGCCGCGGUAAUACGGAGGGUGCAAGCGUUAUCCGGAUUCACUGGGUUUAAAGGGUGCGUAGGUGGGUAGGUAAGUCCGUGGUGAAAUCCUAUAGCUUAACUAUAGAACUGCCAUGGAUACUAUUUAUCUUGAAUGUUGUGGAGGUAAGCGGAAUAUGUCAUGUAGCGGUGAAAUGCUUAGAUAUGACAUAGAACACCUAUUGCGAAGGCAGCUUACUACGCAAAUAUUGACACUGAGGCACGAAAGCGUGGGUAGCAAACAGGAUUAGAUACCCCCGUAGUCC
rnacentral:rRNA from 1 species